GGAUGCGAUCAUACCAGCACUAAAGCACCGGAUGCCAUCAGAACUCCGAAGUUAAGCGUGCUUGGGCGAGAGUAGUACUACGAUG
rnacentral:rRNA from 1 species